rnacentral:lncRNA from 1 species
AGGCUUUGAUAACACAUAUGUAGCCUUAGGCUUGGCAAACUUGUCAUUAUUUAAUCGCUUCAGCUUCGAAUUAGGCCUCUUGCAUAUUGAUUUUAAAUCCUCCCUAGCUUGAGAGUUAUCUUUAGCUUUCCCCUUAAUAUCCAUCAAAGUGUUAAACACAUUAUCAAACACAUUCUUUUUAAUAUGCAUUACGUUUAAGU